rnacentral:lncRNA from 1 species
AAGGUUCUGAAAAAUAUUAUUAUUAUUAUUGCUUGAAUUCAUCAACAAUCCAGUAAGAAGCCUCUGAAAAUGAAAUCACAAGACUGGAGCCCUGGAAACUGUAGGCUAACAAUGCUACUCAGAAGUAAAAUUUAAGGCUUUUAAAGGGCUUUAGAGCCAUGAUCUAAUUUGAGUCUUACAACACUCCCGGUCAAGCCACUUUCUUCCGAGCCAGCUGGUUCCGCACUAGCUCUACUCCCCCAUUGACGGUCCAGACACCCUUCCUGACGUCGAUGUUGAGUUAGUCUGGACACCCAGCAACACUUCGCUGACUAGCCAGUCACUCUCUCUAACCUAGCUCGAACCCGGAAUCCGAAAUCAUUCCAAACAAACUGCAAACCUGACCUCUUUCCCCGCACUCUGCCCUGCCUGCCCAAACUUUGCCUGCUCUGCGGAUUACCGGCUCCGCGAGAACUCCCUCAUGUGUCCUCCUCCUCCAAGGCAGGAGUAAUCCCUGCUGGCAGCUGCUCCCUUUUCAGUUACCGGGAUACUUUGCAGGAGGAAAUAACCACAGUCAUAAGGGGGCUGGUCCAAGCCCCUAUUCCCCAUGAUGCCUAGUGGAAACAGCUAUCAAAAAAAGGCCCUGUGAAUUCGGGAAAAGUCUUUCAUGAAACAGACACAGCAGAUCUUACUAUCAAAACACUGACCUUGGGAGAAUGGGAAAUAAAUUGACAGGUUUACUGAAGAUAUAUACUAUC